rnacentral:rRNA from 1 species
UCCUUUGACUCAAAUCAGGUAGGACUACCCGCUGAACU